AUUGAACGCUGGCGGCAGGCCUAACACAUGCAAGUCGAGCGGAGCGGCGGACGGGUGAGUAAUGCAUAGGAAUCUGCCUGGUAGAGGGGGAUAACGACCGGAAAGGGGCGCUAAUACCGCAUCCUAUCAGAUGAGCCUAGGUCGGAUUAGCUUGUUGGUGGGGGAAAGGCCUACCAAGGCGAAGAUCCGUACCUGGUCUGAGAGGAUUAUCAGCCACACUGGAACUGAGACACGGUCCAGACUCCUACGGGAGGCAGCAUUGGGGAAUAGUGGACAAUGGGCGAAAGCCUGAUCCAGCCAUGCCGCGUGUGUGAAGAAGGUCUUCGGAUUGUAAAGCACUUUAAGUUGGGAGGCGUUACCAACAGAAUAAGCACCGGCUAACUUCGUGCCAGCAGCCGCGGUAAUAC
rnacentral:rRNA from 1 species